rnacentral:rRNA from 1 species
CCUACGGGUGGCAGCAGUGAGGAAUAUUGGUCAAUGGACGAGAGUCUGAACCAGCCAAGUAGCGUGAAGGAUGACUGCCCUAUGGGUUGUAAACUUCUUUUAUAUGGGAAUAAAACGUUCCACGUGUGGGAUUUUGUAUGUACCAUAUGAAUAAGGAUCGGCUAACUCCGUGCCAGCAGCCGCGGUAAUACGGAGGAUCCGAGCGUUAUCCGGAUUUAUUGGGUUUAAAGGGUGCGUAGGUGGAUUGUUAAGUCAGUUGUGAAAGUUUGCGGCUCAACCGUAAAAUUGCAGUUGAAACUGGCAGUCUUGAGUACAGUAGAGGUGGGCGGAAUUCGUGGUGUAGCGGUGAAAUGCUUAGAUAUCACGAAGAACUCCGAUUGCGAAGGCAGUUCACUGGACUGCAACUGACACUGAGGCUCGAAAGUGUGGGUAUCAAACAGGAUUAGAUACCCUAGUAGUC